GGAGAUUUUGAGACUGAAAGUAAAUUAUUGCUUUUUAAUUUAGGAAGAUUCCUCCAAGUAUAUUAAGCUGACUAGAUUGUAGUGAGAGGAGACUGGAGGUUGGGAAACCACUUAGGUUUUCAUGGAAAUCAGGCAAAGAUUGUUCUCCUGAUGAAAAAGUAGAGAGAGAAGUUAGCCCAAAUCCAUACAGAAUGGGAGGGAAUAGAAAGAAGACAAAAAUAGAAGAAAAAAGAAACCAUCACAGGGACUGCUCUGCCGCUGCGGGGGCAAAACUGCCAGCGCGGAAGCGUGGGCGGCAGGCGCGCAGCUCUGAGGACCCGGGAGCAGCGGUGCGGCCAGGCGGUGACCGCGAACCCCGGACGGAAGGCGAGGAAAGGAGCGCGCUGUCUCUGCGCCUUCCUAUGUUCUUGUUAGUGAGGGCUCUCCACAUUAAAUGUGUACAAGGACAUAGUCGUCCACAUGCUGUCGGGUUCUAGGCAUGCUUGAGUAAUUCCAAACAGGCUUUUUAUAGCCCAAAGGGACAAAUAAACAGAAAGGAUAGGAAAACAAGCUCCUGAGAUAAUCGGUCCUUCAGGAACCAAAGGAAUGAGAGUAAAUGACUUCCUUAAAGAAGUGUCUUCAGCUGUGUUCUGGAAGCAUCAUUCCUAUCUGACCUUUCAAAGACCUUUGUUUGUAUAGUAAUAGUACUUCAUACUUUUAAGGGUUCUCCCCCCCCCACGAUUUUGUGAGGUGUAGCAGCAAUGUAGUAUUUGUUGUAGACAGGAGGAGGCGCUUCAUUCAUCAUUAUUAUUAUUCUCAGCAGAUAAAUUAAUAUUCCAACCAGACGGGAUGAACGCACUCCUCUCUUGUCAUCAUCGUAUUUCAAGGGAUGCCGUAGUAUAUUGAAACAGGAUUUCACUGUGUAGCCCAGGCUGGCCUAGAACUCACAGCAAUCCUCCUGACUCAGCCUCGCGAGCGCUGGGACUACAGGUGUGCACAAGCACCCCGAGCAAUAGAGUGAAUUUCUGAGUGGAACACUCUCCUUUUUCCCCUGUAAGAUUUUAUUUAGACAAAAUUUAAACUUACAGAAAUGUUAAAAAAUAGCUUAAUGGGUAUCUGCGUAUUAUUCACGUACGCUUUUCUGUUGAUAACAUUUUGAGACUUUACCUCGCACUUUCUGCUUUUUAUGUGUUUGCUACAUCAUAUAAAGUGAUGUGCUGAUAACAUAACACUUGACUACUAAACACUUGUAUUUUGAAUGCAUCUUUUAGGACGUAUCUUUUAAAGAACAAGACCAUUUUUCUC
rnacentral:lncRNA from 1 species